CAGCAGCCGCGGUAAUACGAAGGGGGCUAGCGUUGCUCGGAAUUACUGGGCGUAAAGGGCGCGUAGGCGGACAGUUCAGUCGGGGGUGAAAGCCCGGGGCUCAACCUCGGAAUUGCCUUCGAUACUGGCUGUCUUGAGUAUGAGAGAGGUGUGUGGAACUCCGAGUGUAGAGGUGAAAUUCGUAGAUAUUCGGAAGAACACCAGUGGCGAAGGCGACACACUGGCUCAUUACUGACGCUGAGGCGCGAAAGCGUGGGAAGCAAACAGGAUUAGAUACCCCGGUAGUCCCUGUCUCUUAUAC
rnacentral:rRNA from 1 species